GUGCCGAACUUUUCCCUCUCUGUUCGCGAAUUGCAGGGCGCGGCUAGGGCAUCGACUCCCCACACCGCCUCUCUUCCACUUCUCAACUCCGGCCGGCGGCUUAUUUUCUUCUCUUCACCGCCGCCGGCCGGCCAUCCACAGCCACCCUUCUUCUUGAUUUCCAGCGGCGAGCGGCAGCAGCACAGUGGCGGGAGCAGCAGGUUUCGGCAGCGAUUUCCGACCAACUCCACCUCACCGGAGGGGUUCUCCGGUGAGACCUCCACACUCCGGCAGCCUUCUGACAGCUCUUCAUCUGGGGUUCAGGCGGUGCAGCAAGGAGGCAGCCGGCAGUAGUCCAUCCACCAUUUCCAGCCAUUUCCAGCGAAGGGGUUCUUCGUUGGAAGAUUCGUAGUCAUCCAUUGUCGGUGUCGAAGCUAGCAGCAAGUCCAUCAGAGUGCUACUGUUCACUGGCUCUUGGGGGUUCCGGAGCCGGGUCUUCGUGUGACGACGAAAAUAGUUGUUGGUUAGCAGGUAGAGGAUGUGUUGUGUCACUCAGAAGUCCUGACUGUCAGACCCACUUGAGUUGGAUUCAUCUUGUACGAGUCAUUUGAUUUAUUUUUUCCGCUGUCUUUAUUUAUGGUUGUAUUUCCUAGUCGAAUCUUUGAGUUUCAUUAUAAUAGUUUAAUUAUUUAGUUUAGUAUGAUUACAUGUAUAUGCAUACAUAUACGCAUUAGUUGUUAUGAGUUGUGAUUUUUAUAUUGCAUUGGAGUUUGUAUUGGCUUGAA